GAUCGAGCGCUCGUAGCAAUACGGAAGCGGCAGACGGGAGAGUAACACGUGGGAACGUACCCUUCGGUUCGGAAUAACCCAGGGAAACUUGGGCUAAUACCGGAUACGUCCGUAAGGAGAAAGAUUUAUCGCCGAGGGAUCGGCCCGCGUCCGAUUAGCUAGUUGGUGGGGUAACGGCCUACCAAGGCGACGAUCAGUAGCUGGUCUGAGAGGAUGAUCAGCCACACUGGGACUGAGACACGGCCCAGACUCCUACGGGAGGCAGCAGUAGGGAAUCUUGCGCAAUGGGCGAAAGCCUGACGCAGCCAUGCCGCGUGAAUGAUGAAGGUCUUAGGAUUGUAAAAUUCUUUCAGCGGGGAAGAUAAUGACGGUACCCGCAGAAGAAGCCCCGGCUAACUUCGUG
rnacentral:rRNA from 1 species